CACCAGGCGCGAAAACUUUACAAUGCACGAAAGUGUGAUAAGGGAAUCCUAAGUGCUAAUACACAGUAUUGGCUUUUGCCAAGGGUAAAUACCUUGGAGAAUAAGUGGUGGGUAAGACUGGUGCCAGCAGCCGCGGUAACCCCAGCGCCACGAGUGGGAACCACAAUUAUUUGGCCUAAAGCGUCCGUAGCUGGCUUUGUAAAUCUUUUGUGAAAUCGGAAAGCUUAACUUUCCGGCGUGCAGAAGACACUGCAUUGCUUGAGACCGGGAGGGGUAAGGAGUAUUUCCAGGGAACCGGUAAAAUGGGAUAAUCCUGGAAGGACUACCUGUGGCGAAGGCGCCUUACCAGAACGGGUCUGACAGUGAGGGACGAAGGCUAGGGGAGCGAACCGGAUUAGAUACCCGAGUAGUCCUAGCAGUAAACUCUGCGGGCUAGGUGUUGCAUCAUCCAUGUGAUUAUGCAGUGUCGUAGCGAAGGCAAUAAGCCCGCCGCCUGGGAAGUAUGGUCGCAAGACUGAAACUUAAAGGAAUUGGCGGGGGAGCAC
rnacentral:rRNA from 1 species